rnacentral:rRNA from 1 species
UACGUAGGGUGCAAGCGUUAAUCGGAAUUACUGGGCGUAAAGCGUGCGCAGGCGGUUUUGUAAGACAGAGGUGAAAUCCCCCGGGCUCAACCUGGGAAUUGCAUUCGAUACUGGAUAGCUAGAGUUCGGCAGAGGGAAGCGGAAUUUCUGGUGUAGCGGUGAAAUGCGUAGAUAUCAGAAGGAACAUCAGUGGCGAAAGCGGCUUCCUGGACCAGAACUGACGAUCAGGCACGAAAGCGUGGGGAGCAAACAGG